GCAGAUGCCCCUUUCCUGCAGUCUCCCCAUCCCUCCUGUCGGCCUCGGUAUUGGUCCUGUUCCCCCUCCUUCCCGCGGGUCUGCGGAGGGGCAGAGGCAGAGUGUGGCUUCCAUCCAUCGUGUGGGAUAGGGCUUCGCUUCUGUGAGUCUGCUCUAGAAGCUGAUUGUGAGCUGCUGGCCUGAGCUGCUCCCCCCAUCUUGGGAGCAACAAGGGAGCUGUGGGCAACUGCGUCACCACCAUGGUGCACAACCGCUACACCCCCUCGGAGAGGGCGCCCCCGCUCAAGAGCUCCAACCAGACCGCCCCCUCCCUCAACAACAUCAUCAAGGCAGCCACCUGUGAGGGCAGCGAGAGCAGCGGCUUCGGGAAGCCACCGAAGAAUGUCUCCAGUGCCACCCACUCGGCCCAGAACAACGCUGGGGGCAGCACGGGCCUGCCCAGGUGGAAGGAGGUGACGGAGGAGGAGGCUGAGAGGUUUAUCCACCAGGUGAACCAGGCCGCUGUCACCAUCCAGCGCUGGUACCGCCACCACGUGCAGCGGCGUGGAGCAGGAGCUGCCCGCCUGGAGCACCUGCUGCAGGCCAAGCGGGAGGAGCAGCGGCAGCGGUCA
rnacentral:sRNA from 1 species